rnacentral:tRNA from 1 species
UCCCUGGUGGCUCAGACGGUAAAGCGUUCGUCUACAAUGCGAGAGACCUGGGUUCGAUCCCUGGGUUGGGAA